GAUGAACUGUGGGUAGCGGAGAAAUUCCAAUCGAACCCGGAGAUAGCUGGUUCUCUCCGAAAUAGCUUUAGGGCUAGCCUUGAAAUAGAUUACCGGAGGUAAAGCACUGAAUUGGCUAGGGGCCGAGAGGUUACUGAACCUUAUCAAACUAAGAAUGCCGGAUAAUCGUUUUUCAGGAGUCAGACAGUGGGAGAUAAGUUUCAUUGUCAAAAGGGAAACAGCCCAGACCCACAGCUAAGGUCCCCAAGUAUAGUUAAGUGGAAAAGGAUGUGGAAUUGCACAGACAACCAGGAUGUUGGCUUAGAAGCAGCCACUCAUUAAAAGAGUGCGUAAUAGCUCACUGGUCGAGUGACUCUGCGCCGAAAAUUUAACGGGGCUAAACUAUACACCGAAGCUUGGGAUACAUCUAAUGUAUGGUAGGAGAGCGUUCUGUAUGGGGAGAAGUCGUAGCGAAAGCGGCGGUGGACUAUACAGAAGUGAGAAUGCCGGAAUAAGUAGCGAGAAUUAAGUGAGAAUCUUAAUGGCCGAAAGUCUAAGGUUUUUGGAGGAAGGUUCGUCCGCUCCAAGUAAGUCGGGAGCUAAGGUCAGGCCGAAAGGCGUAGCCGAUGCACAUACGGUUGAUAUUCCGUAACCAUCUGUAAUUUAAGCAAAGGGACACUUCAAAAGGGUGUGACCCGGGCGUUGGUUGACCCGGGCGUAAGGGACCGAAAUUAGAGUAGGGAAGCACACUUGGCUGAAGGCGAGAAAAGCUUUGCGUAUAGAAACAGAUGCCCGUACCGCAAACCGACACAGGUGGACAGGAAGAGAAUUCUAAGGCCAGCGGGAGAAGGGUAGUUAAGGAACUCGGCAAAUUGACUCCGUAACUUCGGAAUAAGGAGUGCUCGAAAGAGCCGCAGAGAAUAGGCCCAGGCGACUGUUUAGCAAAAACACAGGUCUCUGCCAAAUCGAAAGAUGAAGUAUAGGGGCUGACACCUGCCCGGUGCCGGAAGGUUAAGAGGAGGAGUGAGAGCUCCGAAUUGAAGCCCCGGUAAACGGCGGCCGUAACUAUAACGGUCCUAAGGUAGCGAAAUUCCUUGUCGGGUAAGUUCCGACCCGCACGAAUGGUGUAACGAUCUGGGCACUGUCUCAACUACCCACCCGGCGAAAUUGUAGUACCGGUGAAGAUGCCGGUUACCUGCGGCAAGACGGAAAGACCCCAUGGAGCUUUACUGUAGCCUGAUAUUGGGUUUCGGAAAUCUAUGUACAGGAUAGGCGGGAGACUUGGAAACAUGAGCGACAGCUUGUGUGGAGUCGAUGUUGGGAUACCGCCCUUAGGUUUCUGGAAUUCUAACCUGCGGCCGUGAAUCCGGUCGGGGGACAUUGUCAGGUGGGCAGUUUGACUGGGGCGGUCGCCUCCGAAAAGGUAACGGAGGCGCUCAAAGGUUAGCUCAGCACGGACGGAAACCGUGCCUCUGAGUGUAAACGCAAAAGCUAGCCUAACUGCGAGGGUGACGGCCCGAGCAGUAACGAAAGUUGGAGUUAGUGAUCCGGCGGUAUGUGAAUGGAAAUGCCGUCGCUCAACGGAUAAAAGCUACCCUGGGGAUAACAGGCUGAUCUCCCCCAAGAGUCCACAUCGACGGGGAGGUU
rnacentral:rRNA from 1 species